rnacentral:other from 1 species
UGUCUCCUGCGGUGUUGGUGAUAGGUCUUUAAGUACCCUUGAGCCUACUUGCCAUGCACAGGGAGCCUCACCCGCGUAGGGAGUGCAGGUCCGCGCAACCGCAGCGGAAAGCCCGAAUACGCGGCGCGGCGCCCACUUGAGACUACGUCUCAAGGUCCAAGACCGAUGACGGCACAGGCGGGAGACAC